CCCCACGGCCACCGACCAGCCCAGCCCGAGGCGACGACGGGAUCGAGGGAGCUGGGAGAAAGGAGGCGUUGCGCGGACGCCCAAAAGGAAAAGCUUUUUGCAUCCGGGUCACCGAGCGGUGCCAGUAAGGACGAAUCCAGCCGCCCAAAGCGGCAGGUGAACAGAGCCCCAAAACUGCACUGCACCGGCGGCGGCCACGAGCGCACCAAAACCCCGCCCGCUCCCGCGUCCCGUCGCCGAGAAGAAUCCUUGCCUUCGCGAAGCCUCUCCAGCAGCCUCCUCGUCGCCGCCCGCGCCUGGAGCAGCAAUGCAGCUAUACCACCACCCAUAUUCCCUGGACAGCCAGAAAGUGCGGAUGGCACUGGAAGAGAAGGGCAUCGACUACACAUCCUACCACAUCAACCCACUCACGGGCAAGAACAUGAAUGUGGACUUCUUCCGCAUGAACCCCUCCGCGAAGCUCCCUGUCUUCCAGAACGGUGCUCAUGUCAUCUAUCGUGCCAUCGACAUCAUUCAGUACUUAGACAGACUUGCGGUGCAUUUAAGUGGUGAGAUCCCCCCUGUGAAUACUGAGGUUCACCAAUGGAUGCAGAAAGUUGAUGCUUGGAAUCCUAAGAUGUUCACCCUCACACACACCCCGGUCAAGUACCGUGCGUUUGUCUCCAAGUUUAUAAGGCGGGUGUUGAUUGCUCGCAUGGCUGAAGCCCCUGAUCUAGCUAGCAUGUACCAUGUCAAGCUCCGCGAGGCUUACGAGACCGAGGACAAAGUAAAGGACCCUGACAUCAUGAAGCAAAGUGAGGAAGAAUUGAGCAAACUCCUUGAUGAUGUUGAAGCUCAGCUCAGCAAGACCAAAUAUCUUGCUGGCGAUGAAUUCUCACCUGCUGAUUCGAUGUUCGUCCCUAUUCUUGCGCGCAUAACUCUUCUGGACCUUGAUGAGGAGUAUAUCAGCUGUAGACCCAAGAUACUUGACUACUAUAAUUUGGUGAAGCAUCGGUCAAGCUACAAGAUUGCCAUUGGCAAGUACUUCAAUGGGUGGAAGAAGUACCGGACUCUCUUCAAGACGUCUUUCUUCCUUUGCGUUCGAACCCUGUUCAGGAGGCCUUAAUACUGGUUGGCUUUUUAGAUAUGGCCAUAUGAGUUAAGCAUGAGGUUUCCUGCACAUGCUCUACAUUUACAAUGCAGGACUGGGCCUGACAACAACACUGCUAGCUCCAAUUAUGCACCAUGGGACAGAUUCAAAAUGUUCUGAAGUCGCAUACUAUCCCCAAAACCUGAACUCUACCAAGGCCACAGCUUAACUGCAUAAGGGCUUAAUACUGCUUGUGGUUGGUCCUUUAAGAUAGACACAUGGAUAUACAGCAUGCAGAAGAUCUCCUGCACGUGCCAUUUAAAAUUCGGGACAGUAGUGGCCUGGCCAUCACAUGCCCCCUUCUCUAUUGGCAGAAUGGCAGGUGGUGGGAUUUGCGGCACUAUGCCCCACCCGGCAUCUGCAGGGCUUCAGGACCUUGCUCAACUUGGUGGAAAACUUGGUGCCAUGCCAUGACGGUUGACGGGGAUGAUCUCUCUGACUGGUACCUGAUGGAUGAUAUGAUGCUCAUGUUGAGAAUUGUGCUGGAACCCAGGGCAAAAUGACAGACACUACUGCCCCCUCCGUGUAAUGUUUAACUCAAGCAUUCCAUGAGCGUGUGUUGAAGCCUCUCUGGACUCUGUUUUUUUCUGUCUAGAGUAUAGCCUUGAUGACCUGCGUGUCAUGAGUACUUUGGCAAGCUUUGGCUUGCUCAAAAUAUGGUGAACCUGUUGGUCCUGAAUGCAUUGCUAACGAACCAAGGCUUUUCCUGGAACUCCAAAAAAUCUCUCUACAUGCAUGACCAGGAAAUGUCAGUGGGUUUUGGUCUUCCAAGUUAAAUGGAUUGUAUUUGUGUCUUCGUAGCUUAUUAGUUUGUGACAGUUAAACCAUUUGUACCUAAAUUUUUCUGUUUUCAAGAAAGAGCAGAGAUCUUUGUGGACCGUACUAA